CCACCAAUGCUCUCCCCUUGGCUCCCUUCCCCAAAGCCUCUCUACCCUCCACAGAUGGAGCAGUUAUCCCUGACCUAUGGACAGCCAGCCUCCAGCUAAGCUCUCACAACUGUGCUGAUCCAGGAAGAAAAUCAAAGAACCUGAGCAGGAGAGUAAAGAUUAUUUCCCCUUCGACAUGCAGGGGCAGCUACGAAGUAAGGACAGUAGCAACUGAGACUCCCAUGACAAAGUUCUUAAAAAGUGUGAAAUAGUUAAUUUCACGGUAGGCUUUCCUCGUUCUUGGGUUAAACUUGGUGAGUUAACUGACUGAUUAGUUAAUGUAGACCUUCGCUCAUAUGCCGGCACUAUUCUCUCUAGGCUUCCCCCAAGAUCCUCAAAUAGAACCUCUAAGAAAAGCUUUCAGAAUGAGUGGGAGAAACAGCUGAACACCUUGCCACCGUAUUCGGUGGGGAAUUGUGUCAUUACACACAAUUUUAUUAAAUUUGCUUUUCCCCCCACUUCCUUAAUGUUCUUUUGCUCUAAGAAGGAGAGCCUGCAAAGUAUAAAAUUACUUUCGUUAUUUUAGUUUAUGAAGUUUAAAAUUACAGUAAAAAAGGAAGCCAUUCUUGAAUGAUUUGGCAAAGAUUAGGCAUUCUAUAGUCCUAAUAAUUAUAUUUGGGUGUUCAAUUAACUUUUUAACAAUACCUUGCAAUUCAAGUAGCAGAUGGCAAAGAACCAAAUUGCACACGUUAUUUCAUUUUUUAUGAGUGAGAAAUAUUGGAUCCUUUCAAACUCAAGUGGUUCAUAUUGAUGGCUUUAAUUAUUUUAGGGCCUGGCUUGUUUUUCGCUGAACUGUACACAUGGAAUUUAAAAUAACUUUGGAGCCACUGGAAUAUAUUUAUUUUCCACGGCUUUUUCGUUAAGACAAUUGCUUUUUGUAGACAAUGGCUUCUCUAGUUGAUGGUAUCUACCUUUUCCCAACUUAACUGGCUACUCUCAUGCCAUGUCAAUAGUCCAACUGUUGGUGUUUUAAAACUGUAUAUGUUUUAUCUUUAAUCUCAUUAAGUGAUCCAAUUCAUCAUGCUUGCUCUAAUUCAGCCUCAAUAAUAAGUUGCAAAAAAACUGGAACAAUGUUUCUUUUUGGCCCAAGCCUGUUAGAUUUAUUGGUGCAAUUCAUUCCUAUAGAUUAUGAUGUUAAAGUGUACGUUAGUAUGGAGGCUAUUAUGUAGAUAGUUCUUUGUUUAUAUGUAGGCA
rnacentral:lncRNA from 1 species